rnacentral:lncRNA from 1 species
UUAAGUGAAGUCGGCAAAUCGUUUGCCGACUUUACUUAAGAAAUGCAAAAUUUUUUAGUGGGCGGAUCCUUGUUUCGAAUGAAAUAGGGAUCCGGCUACGGCCUCCGCAUUCCCUGUUUGCCGGCCUUCUUCUCUCUCCCUCCCUCUCCCUUCUCUCUUUUUCUCUCUCCUGUUCUCCUCUCCUCCAUCUCCUCUGCUGUGUUGGCUUGGCACGACAUGAUGUGGGCUCAUACCGAC